rnacentral:lncRNA from 1 species
GUUGGUGAAGACCCUUAUUGGUUAUCUGACUCCAUUUGCUAUAACUUUCCAUUCAUCCCCCCCCCCCCCAUAUUGUACUGAAACCAGUACCAUACAGAACCUUCAAUGGGGGAAAAGAAUAUAGGAAAAAGAUAUGAAGGAUCUUGGUGUUGUAUGAAAUUAAUAUAAAUAUAUAACUCAUAGUUGGCACAUCCAUAUUAAGGUAGGGCAUGGAGUGAAAGUGUAGUUUCUGACUUCAGGAAGCUCCCUUGCAUGUCUGUGGUGUCAUUAUGUCAGGUCACAUGACCCAGACUGUCCAAUCAAAAGCAAACUAGGUGAAACAUCAUAGGCAGUAAGGCUCUGAUGUCUUCCUGAAUUCAAGUCCUCUCCUUGACUGGCCUUAAUUUCUUUGGUCCAAUUAUAUGUAGGAUGGGCCCCUGGCCACUUGUAAAGUGGUUCAGGCAGAUUGGGAAUAUAGGACUGGAUGAAUCAGCAGUACAGCUUUAGUGUUCAACAAGGAUCUCAUGAGACUGUCUGCCCCACCUUCUUUCACUACUGGAGCCUUUGUCUCAGGAAACACUCUGUCUGGGACCCAAGAUAGCCAUGAAUAAUAACACCUGAUGAAUUUUGAAGAAAGAGAAGACCUACACAUGGCAGAAAUGGAGAUCAAUGUAUUCUAGGAUUGAGAGAUGGUAUAUGUGUAUAGAGGCAGAGUUACAUUCAUUCCCAUUACAAGCAAGGCAAGCCAAGAAUGUCAAUUACCUUCAAGCCCAAGUCUGCAGGACACAACCAAGCAACCUUGCCAGGUGUCUGAAUCAAGCACAAGAAAUAUGCAACUUGGAAAUUGAGGAAAAUCCAAUUCUGGUCUGUCUUAAAUUACCCUCUAACCCUCUACCUAAGUACGAAAUGUUUUGUUACCCAUCUCCUAAGUAACUGUGAUUGAUUGUGAAAGCUGACCAAAAGUAAAAAUGAUUCCCCUAACUGAUCAUCCCUUAGGUCAAGAGGGACUAACAUCCCUACUCAUGUCAUUUAUCUUCAUCUCUGUUUUAGCAACAAUGUUUCAUUACCUAUCUCCUUAGGCUUUGUGUCUGUCGUUAGGUUCUAUGGAAACAUAUAUGUUGGAAAAUGAUUGUGUACCAGAUAAGCAAGUGCUCAUUGAACCUAUAAAAUAAACCAACAUCUGCUAUGGCA